rnacentral:rRNA from 1 species
CCCUUAGAUGUUCUGGGCCGCACGCGCGCUACACUGAUGCAUUCAACGAGCCUAGCCUUGACCGAGAGGUCCGGGUAAUCUUUGAAACUGCAUCGUGAUGGGGCUAGAUUAUUGCAAUUAUUAAUCUUCAACGAGGAAUGCCUAGUAAGCGUGAUUCAUCAAAUCGCGUUGAUUACGUCCCUGCCCUUUGUACACACCGCCCGUCGCUCCUACCGAUUGAGUGUGUUGGUGAGGAGCUCGGAUUGGCAGCAGGUGGUGGUUCGCCACCGCCUAUUGCUGAGAAGUCCUCCAAACCGCCCCACUUAGAGGAAGGAGAANUCGUAACA